GAUUAAUAACGUAGUGAAAUGCGAUAAGUAAUGUGAAUUGCAGAACUCAGUGAAUCAUCGAAUCUUUGAACGCACAUUGCGCCCCUUGGUAUUCCAUGGGGCAUGCCUGUUCGAGCGUCAUCUACACCCUCAAGCUCUGCUUGGUGUUGGGCGUCUGUCCCGCCUUUGCGCGUGGACUCGCCCCAAAUUCAUUGGCAGCGGUCCUUGCCUCCUCUCGCGCAGCACAUUUGCGCUUCUCGAGGUGCGCGGGCCGCGUCCACGAAGCAACUAUUACCGUCUUUGACCUCGGAUCAGGUAGGGAUACCCGCUGAACUUAAGCAUAUCAAUAAGCGGAGGA
rnacentral:misc_RNA from 1 species